UGAAAGCAGACUACAAAUUUUGGUUGGGGUGACCUCGGAGUAUAAAAAAACCUCCGAAUGAUAUUAAUUCAGACUAUGAACCUGUCUAAAUUCUAACUCAUAAAUUGACCCAAAAAUAUUUGAUCAACGGAACAAGUUACCCUAGGGAUAACAGCGCAAUCCUACUCAAGAGUUCAUAUCGACAGUUAGGGUUUACGACCUCGAUGUUGGAUCAGGACAUCCAAAUGGUGUAACCGCUAUUAAUGGUUCGUUUGUUCAACGAUUAAAGUCCUACGUGAUCUGAGUUCAGACCGGAGAAAUCCAGGUCGGUUUCUAUCUAUUAAUAAAUUUCUCCCAGUACGAAAGGACAAGAGAAAUAAGGCCUAUUUUCCUUAUACGCCUUAGACAAAUAGAUG
rnacentral:rRNA from 1 species